UUCAGCCAUUUUGAUUAAAACGUAGAAAAUGAAUGUAUUUUUGUCAUCACUAUUGUAAAAACUUUUUAAAUUUUUCUUCAUAUGCUCUUAAAUUAUGGAGGGAAUCCUGUAACUCUUCUCUUGACAUCAAAAGAUAGACAUAGAAAAUUUGUUAUGUUCCUAGAAAGGAAUAAAGAAAAGUAUACUUGUCCAUCUUUUAUCCUGGUCUCAUGUUAGUGGGCUGUAGUUCUUUGAUAAGGAAUUAGAAAGUUUGACAAUUUGUUUUGCCAGAUGCUGUUCAGUUCUGCCAUACUUCUCCCUGCUUCUUGAAUAGAAACUUUAAUGUGUCUGUUUUUUAUUUUGCUUUGUGAUGGUAGGUGGGUUAAAAAUCCAAUACUGUGACCAGGAUUGUGUGGGCCAGGUUGUUUGUUAUAAGAAUGCAGUCAGUUUAAGUCUUUGAAUUUGUAGUUUAAAAAAAUGAAGCAAUUUUGAAAACAUCUGCAAGGUGCUGAAUUCACUUAUCUUUAUUGUGUCAUUUCAUGGAG
rnacentral:lncRNA from 1 species